CUGCCAGAGACAUUGUGGAGGAGAUGCAAGUGGACAUGGUGCUGAAUGAGGAUGAAAGGAUGGAGGUGGACGUGGAAGAGUAGGUUGAGGAGAUGGAAGUAGACGAGGAGGAUGACAUCGAGGAGAUGGACGUUGUUGAGGAGGAUAAGGAGGAGCCCAUGGUCCUUGGAUGAAGAUGGAGCCUCACAAGUCUGAUGGAGAUGAUGGCCGUACAUAUUACGCCUCUGUAUAUAUGUUUAAAUAGUUAGAAGAUUUUUGUAAAUAUGUUCUUAGUUCACACCCACCCUUGUUACCGCGGUCAAGUGCUGCCUCCACUGCUCUCUAAAAUGGCGCCGAGGAAACCUCUCUGGGAAAUAUGCAAAUCAAGAGAAAGUCAAGGGAAUCUAACUAUAGACCUUGAAACCGACAAACUAAACUAAAAUUCAAGAAACUAAGUGAAUGGUUCUGCUGGCAAAAAGUACUGCUAUUCAAUUAGUGAGGUUUUAAAAAUCGCUGUAACCUCAACAGAACAAAGUUGA